AAUAAAUAAAAAAAAAUAAGGUCAUGAGCCAGUCUAUGUGUAGCUAUAUAGCAUAGAAAUUGUGCACACUGCCUGAUACUGAGUCUAUAUACCUGUAUGUUAUAUCUCUGAGGGAAGAUAAGAAAACUUGAAUGAUCUAGAGCACCCAUCAGAAGUAUAGAGGAUUUCGUGCUGUGUACAAUACCUCAAACAUAAUUAUAAGCCUUACACUUUUUCGAACAAAACCCCUGAAGUGUCUGGAAUAUACAUUUCUGUCAUAGACACAAAGGUGCAGCUGUAAACCCCUUCUGCUUAUUUUCAAGGAUUUAUAUUUAGAGUCAAGUGUUGAAAACAUUUUAUCAACUGUGUUGAUAAGAGCAGUUUAUUUUCUUUUGUAAUAUUGGAUUAUUGAUGGUUUUAAGUUGGUCUUGUACAUCUAUUUGCAGAAGGGACGCUUUCAGCACUAAGGGGUUACAACGAACAUUUGUUGAGGAUUAGACAGAAAAGUACUGUGUUUAACAAGAUACUGGAACAGCAUAAUUUGGCCAUGCCGAGGCUCUUGAUCACUGAGAAUUGUCAAGUGCACUAUCCAUCUGGCAUCAAGCAACACAGGACAUUAUUGG